AGGGAUGAGGCGGGAGGCGCUGUUUCCGCGGCCCGCCAGUGUCACCCGCCCCUCCUGGGGUUCGGACAGAGGGACAGCCGGACAGGAGGUCCAGAGGCUAGAAAUCCGAAAAGAAGGUGUUGGCAGGAUCCCGCUUCCCCUGCAACCGGAUGAGCUUCUCCUCCCGGGAAAGUGGACCAGAUGCCCUCAGCUUGUCCUCUGC